AUUGAACGCUGGCGGCAGGCCUAACACAUGCAAGUCGAACGAGUGGCGGACGGGUGAGUAAUGUCUGGGAAACUGCCCGAUGGAGGGGGAUAACUACUGGAAAGAGUAGCUAAUACCGCAUACCAUCGGAUGUGCCCAGAUGGGAUUGGCUAGUAGGUGGGGUAACGUCUCACCUGGUCAGCGAUCUCUAGCUGGUCUGAGAGGAUGACCAGCCACGCGUGAACGGAACCACGGUCCAGACUCCUACGGGAGGCAGCAGUGGGGAAUAUUGCACAAUGGGCGCAAGCCUGAUGCAGCCAUGCCGCGUGUAUGAAGAAGGCCUGCGGGUUGUAAAGUACUUUCAGCGAGGAGGCGUUACUCGCAGAAGAAGCACCGGCUAACUCCGUGCCAGCCGCCGCGGUAAUUC
rnacentral:rRNA from 1 species